AUGCUCUGGUUUCUCUUCAUCAAUCGUGCUAAUCUUUCGCCUUUUACUAAAGAUUACCGUGGAAAGGAACAUCCUAAUGAGCUUAAAUUAAUUUUUGGAAUCCCACUUCGGUGGGAU
rnacentral:snRNA from 1 species